AUUGAACGCUGGCGGCAUGCCUUACACAUGCAAGUCGAACGGUAACGGGCCUUCGGGUGCCGACGAGUGGCGUACGGGUGAGUAAUACAUCGGAACGUGCCCGACCGUGGGGGAUAACUAGGCGAAAGCUUUGCUAAUACCGCUUACGAUCUACGGCUGAAAUCCGGGGACCGCAAGUCCUUGCGCGUACGGAGUGGCCGAUGGCAGAUUAGGUAGUUGGUGGGAUAAAAGCUUACCAAGCCGACGAUCUGUAGCUGGUCUGAGAGGAUGAUCAGCCACACUGGGACUGAGACACGGCCCAGACUCCUACGGGAGGCAGCAGUGGGGAAUUUUGGACAAUGGGCGCAAGCCUGAUCCAGCAAUGCCGCGUGCAGGAUGAAGGCCUUCGGGUUGUAAACUGCUUUUGUACGGAACGAAAAGCCUUCUUUUAAUACAGGAGGGACAUGACGGUACCGUAAGAAUAAGCACCGGCUAACUACGUG
rnacentral:rRNA from 1 species